CGAACCUAGCCAGAGCCAGAUUUUGUAUAGGACCGUCGCCGCCUCCGGCCGACGAGGAUUGAGCUUCUCUGGUUGUCGUCAGGCUCGCAGGCCGCCGCCCUCCACGGAUCAAGGAACACCGGCCAGAUCCGCCAUCGAGAUGUGCAGCGCACACAUUGGGACCAAGCUCGCUACCCUGCAGCCUUGACGCGCCCAACACCGGCCACCUCGACCACUCCGCCUCCUCAAGUACAACCUCCACGCUCCACCACCACCUGCUGCCUGCAAGAUAUGACGCCUCUGUCUCUCAGCGACUUCCCCUGCGCUCACAAAAUCUCCCGUUCAGACGGUGGACCAUCGUUGCUCGCAUCGUCUUGAACAUCAGAUCCUUUCUCUUUGUCAUGAAGUUGGUUGGGGACGUUGGCCACAUGGAACUUCCAUUUGAAAUAUUAAAAGAUAUAAAUCAGUGGAUUUGAUGCCAUACCAUUCAUGUUCCGGCACUGUACCAACAAACAUUGAGAUUUAACAUCUCAUCAUAUGAAGACAUGGAUUUCUUAUUAAAAGUGCAUUCACGCUCUGUCAUUUAACAUGGUGUGUGGGUAUAUCAUUGACAACGACUGGUUGCUUUCUGUUGGAAAAGUAAUCCAUCUCUACACUAUAGUUGAUGUGGUUGGUAUAAGUUUGCAAGGAAAGGUGUUGAGCUUGAUACGAGAUGUGUAGUUUGCAACAGGUAUUUUGAAGAUGGUGGUCAACUUUUUUUUUCUGUUGCAUUGAAGUUAAAAAGAACCAGCCUCUCUACAUUGCACUUUGCAGGGGUAAGACUAGGUUCCUAUAAUCCCUCCCCAUACCCCACCUUGUGUGAGAGCUUCUAUGCACUGGGUUUGUCCUUUUUGAAGUUAAAAAGAGAUUGAGAACCUUAUCCUUGGAACAUGUCUGAUAAAUGCUUGCGAACUGUCUCUAAGCUGUUGAUGUUCUGAUCGCUGUCCUCACUCUCCCAAAGGACCAACAACUGACUAUUAUUUGUUUGCUCUGGAGCUGGUGGGUGGAGAGAAACAAAGUAAAUCAUGGUGCUAAGGUGAAUUCAGAGAUGGAUUUUGCAUACAGAAUCGAUAAAGUACCGGUGAUUGGAAGGAGUUUUAUGCACAGGAAAAGGAGACAAGUGUCCAGGGCCCAUCUUGGUGUGCACUAGAGGAGGGAGUAAUAAAGAUUAAUCUUGAUGCUCCUUUUGAUGCUGAAUUCCAUAGAGGAUGAGGCCGGCUGCCUAGGACGUGAUGCUGGAGGCCAGAUUAUCUUUGCUGCAUCAGGUACCAGCGUCCACCCUUUGCAUGUUGAAUGUUUCUUGCUUCUUCAGGGAAUCAGACUGGCAGAACAGAUGGGCAUGGGCCAUGUUAUCCUUGAAACGGAUUGCCUGAAUCUCCAAAAUGCCAUUACCAGCAAUGUGUUCGAUGAUGAUGCGCAGGUCCUGUUUUAAGAUGUCUGAUGUCUAAUCCUGCUCAAUUUCCUCUCUUAUGAUGUAA